UUAAGCGACUAAGCGUACACGGUGGAUGCCCUGGCAGUCAGAGGCGAUGAAGGACGUGCUAAUCUGCGAAAAGCGCCGGCGAGGUGAUAUGAACCUUUGACCCGGCGAUGUCCGAAUGGGGAAACCCAGUGCAAUCCGUUGCACUAUCGUUAACUGAAUACAUAGGUUAACGAGGCGAACCGGGGGAACUGAAACAUCUAAGUACCCCGAGGAAAAGAAAUCAACCGAGAUUCCCCCAGUAGCGGCGAGCGAACGGGGAGCAGCCCGGAGUCUGAAUCAGCUUGUGUGUUAGUGGAACGGUCUGGAAAGUCCGACGGUACAGGGUGAUAGUCCCGUACACGAAAGCACACAUGCUGUGAACUCGAAGAGUAGGGCGGGACACGUGGUAUCCUGUCUGAAUAUGGGGGGACCAUCCUCCAAGGCUAAAUACUCCUGACUGACCGAUAGUGAACCAGUACCGUGAGGGAAAGGCGAAAAGAACCCCGGCGAGGGGAGUGAAAAAGAACCUGAAACCGUGUACGUACAAGCAGUGGGAGCCUCUUUAUGGGGUGACUGCGUACCUUUUGUAUAAUGGGUCAGCGACUUAUAUUCUGUAGCAAGGUUAACCGUAUAGGGGAGCCGAAGGGAAACCGAGUCUUAACUGGGCGUUAAGUUGCAGGGUAUAGACCCGAAACCCGGUGAUCUAGCCAUGGGCAGGUUGAAGGUUGGGUAACACUAACUGGAGGACCGAACCGACUAAUGUUGAAAAAUUAGCGGAUGACCUGUGGCUGGGGGUGAAAGGCCAAUCAAACCGGGAGAUAGCUGGUUCUCCCCGAAAGCUAUUUAGGUAGCGCCUCGUGAAUUCAUCUUCGGGGGUAGAGCACUGUUUCGGCUAGGGGGCCAUCCCGGCUUACCAACCCGAUGCAAACUACGAAUACCGAAGAAUGUUAUCACGGGAGACACACGGCGGGUGCUAACGUCCGUCGUGAAGAGGGAAACAACCCAGACCGCCAGCUAAGGUCCCAAAGUCAUGGUUAAGUGGGAAACGAUGUGGGAAGGCACAGACAGCCAGGAUGUUGGCUUAGAAGCAGCCAUCAUUUAAAGAAAGCGUAAUAGCUCACUGGUCGAGUCGGCCUGCGCGGAAGAUGUAACGGGGCUAAACCAUGCACCGAAGCUGCGGCAGCGACGCUUAUGCGUUGUUGGGUAGGGGAGCGUUCUGUAAGCCGUUGAAGGUGUCCUGUGAGGGGUGCUGGAGGUAUCAGAAGUGCGAAUGCUGACAUAAGUAACGAUAAAGCGGGUGAAAAGCCCGCUCGCCGGAAGACCAAGGGUUCCUGUCCAACGUUAAUCGGGGCAGGGUGAGUCGACCCCUAAGGCGAGGCCGAAAGGCGUAGUCGAUGGGAAACAGGUUAAUAUUCCUGUACUUGGUGUUACUGCGAAGGGGGGACGGAGAAGGCUAUGUCAGCCGGGCGACGGUUGUCCCGGUUUAAGCAUGUAGGCGGAGGUUCCAGGUAAAUCCGGUACCUUAUUAACGCUGAGGUGUGAUGACGAGGCACUACGGUGCUGAAGUGAUAAAUGCCCUGCUUCCAGGAAAAGCCUCUAAGCAUCAGGUAACACGAAAUCGUACCCCAAACCGACACAGGUGGUCAGGUAGAGAAUACCAAGGCGCUUGAGAGAACUCGGGUGAAGGAACUAGGCAAAAUGGUGCCGUAACUUCGGGAGAAGGCACGCUGAUAUGUAGGUGAAGUCCCUGCGGACGGAGCUGAAAUCAGUCGAAGAUACCAGCUGGCUGCAACUGUUUAUUAAAAACACAGCACUGUGCAAACACGAAAGUGGACGUAUACGGUGUGACGCCUGCCCGGUGCCGGAAGGUUAAUUGAUGGGGUUAGCGGCAACGCGAAGCUCUUGAUCGAAGCCCCGGUAAACGGCGGCCGUAACUAUAACGGUCCUAAGGUAGCGAAAUUCCUUGUCGGGUAAGUUCCGACCUGCACGAAUGGCGUAAUGAUGGCCAGGCUGUCUCCACCCGAGACUCAGUGAAAUUGAACUCGCUGUGAAGAUGCAGUGUACCCGCGGCAAGACGGAAAGACCCCGUGAACCUUUACUAUAGCUUGACACUGAACACUGGUCCUUGAUGUGUAGGAUAGGUGGGAGGCUUUGAAGCGUGGACGCCAGUCUGCGUGGAGCCAACCUUGAAAUACCACCCUUUAAUGGCUGGUGUUCUAACGUAGACCCGUAAUCCGGGUUGCGGACAGUGUCUGGUGGGUAGUUUGACUGGGGCGGUCUCCUCCCAAAGAGUAACGGAGGAGCACGAAGGUUGGCUAAUCCUGGUCGGACAUCAGGAGGUUAGUGCAAUGGCAUAAGCCAGCUUGACUGCGAGCGUGACGGCGCGAGCAGGUGCGAAAGCAGGUCAUAGUGAUCCGGUGGUUCUGAAUGGAAGGGCCAUCGCUCAACGGAUAAAAGGUACUCCGGGGAUAACAGGCUGAUACCGCCCAAGAGUUCAUAUCGACGGCGGUGUUUGGCACCUCGAUGUCGGCUCAUCACAUCCUGGGGCUGAAGUAGGUCCCAAGGGUAUGGCUGUUCGCCAUUUAAAGUGGUACGCGAGCUGGGUUUAGAACGUCGUGAGACAGUUCGGUCCCUAUCUGCCGUGGGCGCUGGAGAAUUGAGGGGGGCUGCUCCUAGUACGAGAGGACCGGAGUGGACGCAUCACUGGUGUUCGGGUUGUCAUGCCAAUGGCACUGCCCGGUAGCUAAAUGCGGAAGAGAUAAGUGCUGAAAGCAUCUAAGCACGAAACUUGCCCCGAGAUGAGUUCUCCCUGAGACUUUAAGUCUCCUGAAGGAACGUUGAAGACGACGACGUUGAUAGGUCGGGUGUGUAAGCGCAGCGAUGCGUUGAGCUAACCGAUACUAAUGAACCGUGAGGCUUAACCUU
rnacentral:rRNA from 2 species